GUUGUAUAGUCAAGUAAUUAAGUGCAUGUGGUGGAUGCCUUGGCAGUCAGAGGCGAUGAAAGACGUGAUAGCCUGCGAAAAGCUCCGGGGAGGCGGCAAAUAUCCUUUGAUCCGGAGAUGUCUGAAUUGGGGGAACCCACCUACUUUAAGGUAGGUAUUGCAACAUGAAUACAUAGUGUUGCAAGGCGAACGAGGGGAAGUGAAACAUCUCAGUACCCUUAGGAAAAGAAAUCAAUUGAGAUUCCCUCAGUAGCGGCGAGCGAACGGGGAUCAGCCCAUUAAGUUAUGUGUGUUUUAGUGGAACGCUCUGGGAAGUGCGAACGUAGAGGGUGAUAUUCCCGUACACGAAAGGGCACACAUAAUGAUGACGAGUAGGGCGAGGCACGUGAAACCUUGUCUGAAUAUGGGGGGACCAUCCUCCAAGGCUAAAUACUCCUGACUGACCGAUAGUGAACCAGUACCGUGAGGGAAAGGCGAAAAGAACCCCUGUGAGGGGAGUGAAAUAGAUCCUGAAACCGCAUGCAUACAAGCAGUGGGAGCACCUUCGUGGUGUGACUGCGUACCUUUUGUAUAAUGGGUCAGCGACUUAUAUUCAGUAGCGAGGUUAACCGUAUAGGGGAGCCGUAGAGAAAUCGAGUCUUAAUAGGGCGUUUAGUUGCUGGGUAUAGACCCGAAACCAGGCGAUCUAUCCAUGAGCAGGUUGAAGGUUGGGUAACACUAACUGGAGGACCGAACCCACUGUCGUUGAAAAGCCAGGGGAUGACUUGUGGAUAGGGGUGAAAGGCUAAUCAAGCCUGGUGAUAGCUGGUUCUCCCCGAAAGCUAUUUAGGUAGCGCCUCGGACGAAUACCAUAGGGGGUAGAGCACUGUUUCGGCUAGGGGGUCAUCCCGACUUACCAAACCGAUGCAAACUCCGAAUACCUAUGAGUACUAUCCGGGAGACAGACUGCGGGUGCUAACGUCCGUAGUCAAGAGGAAAACAAUCCAGACCGCCAGCUAAGGCCCCAAAAUCAUAGUUAAGUGGGAAACGAUGUGGGAAGGCAUAGACAGCUAGGAGGUUGGCUUAGAAGCAGCCACCCUUUAAAGAAAGCGUAAUAGCUCACUAGUCGAGUCGGCCUGCGCGGAAGAUGUAACGGGGCUAAAACUAUGUGCCGAAGCUGCGGAUGUAUACUUUGUAUACGUGGUAGGGGAGCGUUCUGUAAGCCGAUGAAGGUGUGUUGAGAAGCAUGCUGGAGGUAUCAGAAGUGCGAAUGCUGACGUGAGUAACGACAAAACGGGUGAAAAACCCGUUCGCCGAAAGACCAAGGGUUCCAGUCCAACGUUAAUCGGGGCUGGGUGAGUCGACCCCUAAGGCGAGGCCGAAAGGCGUAGUCGAUGGGAAAAUGGUUAAUAUUCCAUUACUUCUGUGUAAUGCGAUGAGAGGACGGAGAAGGCUAAAUCAGCCUGGCGUUGGUUGUCCAGGUGAAAGGAUGUAGGCAUGUAUCUUAGGCAAAUCCGGGGUACUCUAUGCUGAGAUCUGAUAGCAAGCUGUACUUGUACAGCGAAGUGGUUGAUGCCAUGCUUCCAGGAAAAGUCUCUAAGCUUCAGUUACACAGGAAUCGUACCCGAAACCGACACAGGUGGUCAGGUCGAGUAGACCAAGGCGCUUGAGAGAACUCUGCUGAAGGAACUAGGCAAAAUGGUACCGUAACUUCGGGAGAAGGUACGCUGUUGUUGGUGAUGGAACUCGCUUCCUGAGCUGACGACAGCCGCAGAAACCAGGCCGCUGCAACUGUUUAUUAAAAACAUAGCACUCUGCAAACACGAAAGUGGACGUAUAGGGUGUGAUGCCUGCCCGGUGCUGGAAGGUUAAUUGAUGGGGUUAGCGUAAGCGAAGCUCUUGAUCGAAGCCCCAGUAAACGGCGGCCGUAACUAUAACGGUCCUAAGGUAGCGAAAUUCCUUGUCGGGUAAGUUCCGACCUGCACGAAUGGCAUAAUGAUGGCGGCGCUGUCUCCAGCAGAGGCUCAGUGAAAUCGAAAUCGCUGUGAAGAUGCAGUGUACCCGCGGCUAGACGGAAAGACCCCGUGAACCUUUACUGCAGCUUGACACUGAACUUUGACCUUACUUGUGUAGGAUAGGUGGGAGGCUUUGAAGCUGGAACGCUAGUUCCAGUGGAGCCGUCCUUGAAAUACCACCCUGGUAAUGUUGAGGUUCUAACUCUGUCCCGUGAUCCGGGACGAGGACCGUGUCUGGUGGGUAGUUUGACUGGGGCGGUCUCCUCCUAAAGAGUAACGGAGGAGUACGAAGGUGCGCUCAGCGUGGUCGGAAAUCACGCGUAGAGUAUAAAGGCAAAAGCGCGCUUAACUGCGAGACCCACAAGUCGAGCAGGUACGAAAGUAGGUCUUAGUGAUCCGGUGGUUCUGUAUGGAAGGGCCAUCGCUCAACGGAUAAAAGGUACUCUGGGGAUAACAGGCUGAUACCGCCCAAGAGUUCAUAUCGACGGCGGUGUUUGGCACCUCGAUGUCGGCUCAUCUCAUCCUGGGGCUGAAGCAGGUCCCAAGGGUAUGGCUGUUCGCCAUUUAAAGAGGUACGCGAGCUGGGUUUAGAACGUCGUGAGACAGUUCGGUCCCUAUCUACCGUGGGCGCUGGAAAUUUGAGAGGAUCUGCUCCUAGUACGAGAGGACCAGAGUGGACGAACCUCUGGUGUACCGGUUGUGACGCCAGUCGCAUCGCCGGGUAGCUAUGUUCGGAAGGGAUAACCGCUGAAAGCAUCUAAGCGGGAAGCCUACCUCAAGAUAAGAUUUCCCUAGGACUUUAUGUCCUCUAAAGAGCCGUUCGAGACUAGGACGUUGAUAGGUUGGAUGUGGAAGCAUAGUGAUAUGUGAAGCUGACCAAUACUAAUUGCUCGUGAGGCUUGACUAUACAACACCCAAGCAGUUG
rnacentral:rRNA from 1 species